rnacentral:misc_RNA from 1 species
UCUCCGUUGGUGAACCAGCGGAGGGACCAUUACGAGAGUUUUACAACUCCCAACCCUUCUGUGAACCUACCCCUAGUUGCUUCGGCGGACCCGCCCCAGCGUCCGGACGGCCCAGCGCCGGCCAGCGACCUGGACCCAGGCGGCCGCCGGGGACCACGCAACCCUGUAUCUGACAGCCUCUCUGAAUCGGCCGCAAGGCAACACAAACGAAUCAAAACUUUCAACAACGGAUCUCUUGGUUCUG